rnacentral:rRNA from 1 species
AGAGUUUGAUCAUGGCUCAGAUUGAACGCUGGCGGCAGGCCUAACACAUGCAAGUCGAGCGGUAGCACAGAGAGCUUGCUCUCGGGUGACGAGCGGCGGACGGGUGAGUAAUGUCUGGGAAACUGCCUGAUGGAGGGGGAUAACUACUGGAAACGGUAGCUAAUACCGCAUAACGUCGCAAGACCAAAGAGGGGGACCUUCGGGCCUCUUGCCAUCAGAUGUGCCCAGAUGGGAUUAGCUAGUAGGUGGGGUAACGGCUCACCUAGGCGACGAUCCCUAGCUGGUCUGAGAGGAUGACCAGCCACACUGGAACUGAGACACGGUCCAGACUCCUACGGGAGGCAGCAGUGGGGAAUAUUGCACAAUGGGCGCAAGCCUGAUGCAGCCAUGCCGCGUGUAUGAAGAAGGCCUUCGGGUUGUAAAGUACUUUCAGCGGGGAGGAAGGUGUUGAGGUUAAUAACCUCAGCAAUUGACGUUACCCGCAGAAGAAGCACCGGCUAACUCCGUGCCAGCAGCCGCGGUAAUACGGAGGGUGCAAGCGUUAAUCGGAAUUACUGGGCGUAAAGCGCACGCAGGCGGUCUGUCAAGUCGGAUGUGAAAUCCCCGGGCUCAACCUGGGAACUGCAUUCGAAACUGGCAGGCUAGAGUCUGUAGAGGGGGGUAGAAUUCCAGGUGUAGCGGUGAAAUGCGUAGAGAUCUGGAGGAAUACCGGUGGCGAAGGCGGCCCCCUGGACAAAGACUGACGCUCAGGUGCGAAAGCGUGGGGAGCAAACAGGAUUAGAUACCCUGGUAGUCCACGCCGUAAACGAUGUCGACUUGGAGGUUGUGCCCUUGAGGCGUGGCUUCCGGAGCUAACGCGUUAAGUCGACCGCCUGGGGAGUACGGCCGCAAGGUUAAAACUCAAAUGAAUUGACGGGGGCCCGCACAAGCGGUGGAGCAUGUGGUUUAAUUCGAUGCAACGCGAAGAACCUUACCUACUCUUGACAUCCAGAGAACUUUCCAGAGAUGGAUUGGUGCCUUCGGGAACUCUGAGACAGGUGCUGCAUGGCUGUCGUCAGCUCGUGUUGUGAAAUGUUGGGUUAAGUCCCGCAACGAGCGCAACCCUUAUCCUUUGUUGCCAGCGGUCCGGCCGGGAACUCAAAGGAGACUGCCAGUGAUAAACUGGAGGAAGGUGGGGAUGACGUCAAGUCAUCAUGGCCCUUACGAGUAGGGCUACACACGUGCUACAAUGGCGCAUACAAAGAGAAGCGACCUCGCGAGAGCAAGCGGACCUCAUAAAGUGCGUCGUAGUCCGGAUUGGAGUCUGCAACUCGACUCCAUGAAGUCGGAAUCGCUAGUAAUCGUAGAUCAGAAUGCUACGGUGAAUACGUUCCCGGGCCUUGUACACACCGCCCGUCACACCAUGGGAGUGGGUUGCAAAAGAAGUAGGUAGCUUAACCUUCGGGAGGGCGCUUACCACUUUGUGAUUCAUGACUGGGGUGAAGUCGUAACAAGGUAACCGUAGGGGAACCUGCGGCUGGAUCACCUCCUU